CGCAACUUUCAACCGAAAAAAACCCCUCCCCAUCGUCCUCAUCUUCUUCAAACUUGAGCCACAAUCAACCAUUUUCUUUGCAAUGGAGACCUACGUCAUCAGCGAAAAUACAAAGAAAAAAAGAAGCCACUAACACAAUUUCAAAAGGCUUCAACAUUUAUGCACUCAUUGGCAAAGCUGCUGCCAGGAAAUUCCUAAAAAGAAAACAACGACAUCCCCAAUUCCCCGAAAAAUCAUCACUCCUUAAGAGACCUCAUCCACCUCCAAAAUCCCCAACCUAGCGCCUUCCCCCUAUUUUAGGAUUUCUUCUUCUUGUGCUCAACUUAAAAAAGAGACGCAUAUACACAGAACAGAAACGAGGAGUCGCUGCUCUUCUUUUUCCUCCGCCAAAAAACACUGUCAUUUUAGCUCAAAAAAAACCAUUUAAGUAGCCCCUAAUGAGCUGAAAUUCUAGCUCAAAAUCAGCUGAAAAUGCUACCCCAAAACUCAGCUGAAAAUCUCCCAAAAAUCAGCCCUAAUAACCAGUAAAAGCAGCCACAAAUAGCUCUUUCAGCCUGUUCGUUGUCGAGUUUUUUUGGCAAACUUGAAGUCUGUUGAGUUCCGGAGAGGUCUUCAUGUUCAGUCAUUGGCGUCGGUGUAAGUUUGAUAUUACGCAUUUCUAUUUUUCUUUUAAGUUUGCUUCUGCAGCUUUGUAGUUAGUCGUUUCUCUUUCAAUUAUUGCCUCUGUAGCUUUGCAAUGGUUAUUCUGUUGUUAAUAUUACCUAGUCUUGCUUCUUAGCAAUUAAUAGUUCGUUUUUCCUCUUUAAUGCAUGUGUCUAAUUAUUUUUCUAGUUUUCAUUGUUU
rnacentral:lncRNA from 1 species